rnacentral:rRNA from 5 species
UUAAAUUGAAGAGUUUGAUCAUGGCUCAGAUUGAACGCUGGCGGCAGGCCUAACACAUGCAAGUCGAACGGUAACAGGAAGCAGCUUGCUGCUUUGCUGACGAGUGGCGGACGGGUGAGUAAUGUCUGGGAAACUGCCUGAUGGAGGGGGAUAACUACUGGAAACGGUGGCUAAUACCGCAUAACGUCGCAAGACCAAAGAGGGG